rnacentral:lncRNA from 1 species
GUCUUUGUGGUUCUAGGGAUUGAACCCAGAGCCUCACAACACACAGGAACUAUUUCAUCACUGAGUCAAACUCACAGCCUAUACUUCCAAAGACUUUGUCAUCGAGAAUAUCAGACAAAGAGUUCCAGCUCACUGUGUGGAGGCAGCUGUGGCGGAGAUUUGGAAUCAGGCGAAAAUUUAGAAGACCAAAAUUGAUGGUCCAAGCGGCUGGGCUGUAUUUAUCCGGUUGGAGCAUCCCUUGGCAGGCGAUGUUGGACCGUCCCCCUACCUCCACAGACACAUCAGUGCUCAUUUGA